AGAACCCCGCACUCUUUAGUAUUCAACCCGCGAUCCUUUCGCACAACGUCCUCUCCGGCCGCUUCCUCUCGAGUCGCGACCGCGAUCGCCGCCGCCGCCGAUCUUCUUCUCCGGCCAUCCGCCGACCUCCUGUUCUCCUUCCCCUUCCCCUUCCCAGCCCGCAACCUCCUCAAUCUCCAACCUCCUACACCCGUGUCGUGCUUCUCUGCUUUGGAUCGAGUUGGCCGGAUCGACCCCAUCGCCGAUGCCAAGGUCGCCGGUCCAUCGUCCUGCUCCACUCGUGUGCGCCCUCGACGCCGACGCCCCCUGGUCCUCUUUGCCGCAGCCGCCGCUGUCGGCCUCCGUCACCACGCGCCCCUUUGAGCACACUGGAUGCAAUCUCACAUGUCGCCGUCGUCCGCACUGUCUAAGACCACCUACAGACACAUAAUGGCGGAUCAAGGUGUUUGAUGAAAUGCCCAACCACACCAACAACGCGAAUUUAGUUCUACAUGGUGGAAUCAACGAGGUAGCAUGACCUUCAGCCUUCUACAAGAGGUCAACUCAGUUCAAAUCAUUUAGCUAUGUGCAGUACUAUUGCCAAUCGUCUAUUUAGAUGCUUUUUACAUCAAAAUGGUGAUUUUAUACUAUUUUUGUAUGUGGUUACGGUGAUGGAUAAGAUAAGAAAACAUGUAGUUCAAAUCGCCAUCAAGCACAUCAGUCCUUUGAAUGUUAAGCACAUCGAAUGUUUUCAGUUCGUGCAUCAGUUGCAAGCAAGCCAGAAACAUUAUGUGUUCUAUUUUUGUAGAUCAGAAUCCUAGACGUGCCAGUUUAUAACAUUCUCCCAGUACCUCUGUUCUGCAUAUAUUUCUCAAACUAAUUCUGCCAUCGAUUAGGAGUGACAUCACCAUGACAUUUCCAAGCUUUGUCUUCCAUGCUCGGGUCUCUGAUACCUGAAAUUCUUAGGAGUUCUUUCGAAAACAGUAGAAGAUAAGCUUGUGGUGACUUUGUGAAGUUUUGGCAUUGGACCGUUUGAAACUUUAGAUUGGCAGAGAGCUAGAGACCCUGGUGCUCUGAAGGAUGUUAAAUUUGAGAACACAAAUUAUUGUUGUUAAAUGAUCUUUGCUUCCUUCAUUUGGAAAAGUUAGCGUUGUGGGGAGUUUGAUGUUGCGGUAGGCCUUGGCAGUGGCGAGCUGGGAGCCGGCGAGGUAGGCGACAUCGUUGACAACGGCCGUCAUGGCCUCCACCUGUGCCCUCUUGCAGGUGGAUUGCUGGUCAUUGAUGUGGCGAGUCGGGUUCUUGCAGCAAAAUCUACGAUAUUCUCUGGAUGAGCUGCAGGUAGGCCAGGCUGUUCACGAGGAUCCGACGACGACCGCCAAGGUAUGCCCUCCUCUCCUUGCCCUUGGUCGGGCAUCUCUGAUCAGGUUGUAAUCUGCUGGUGCAGUGUUGCUCUGCUUUGAUUUGGGAAUUCCUAUGGGAUCUAUUUUUGAUUGGCCAAAGCUGGUUUGUUUGCUGCCGUUUGGUUUAACAUGAUGCUAUAAUGCGCUACGGAGAGAUAUGUUAUUCCAGUACAAGCGGCCGGUCAGUUAAUUUGAGGAUUUUUUGCCUUUUGUUCUUCAGGCCUAUAGUGUGUGGUUUCAGUCCGACAGUUAAAACUUGCAUUGGCUUGUUAAACUUCACGUGACCGGAUCAGUAGGGGAGGAUGAUCGCAUAUGGAAAAUACUGCUCCAUGGUACUAAAAUCUGUUAUAGGUGUAGGAAGUCAAUGCUAGGACCUCCUGGGAUGUGCUCAUGCAUGCUUGGUCUGAACCUUUUCUUUUCAAUCAAUUGAUGAACCGAUGACAUCAGAUUAUGCCGUAUGUAUACUCCACUACGUACGGAUAGCCCGCUCGUCGUAUCUCGACAGAGUGAAAACAACUUUGAUCCAUGGAGACGGAUUUCUUUCCUGUUGGUGCAAUUGUAUGUUCAGGUGGUUCUUUCAGGUCCAUUUUCUCUCUAGCUUCUUGAUGUUUUCCUUCUCUCGUGUAAUUUAGUUGCCAUUUGUAAUAGUCAAAUUUUCAUGUCAAAUAUGACUUGAAGAUUUUCUAUGCCAAUUGACAUGUCAUUUAUUUUCUAAUUAACCUAUUAUUGAUGGUGUCUGAUCUCCUUUCUGACAUAUUCCAAGAAUAAGUUCUCAUGUUCAGUAAAUGCUAUUCGGUUGAUUAUUUUGAAUUAUUGCAUUAGGUUAAUAGGAUGUAAUUGUACUUAAAUCUUCUUUUGCACAGGUAUACAAACAACAGUGUAACAACUCUAGAAAUCUACAUCUUAAUACUGCCCUAUUUUCAGGGAUUCAAAUCUCCGGGCUGGAAUCAACAAGCCCACAUAAUCUUCAGUCUUCCACAAUUAUGUUUUGCUUCAUGUUCUAUGAUCAGGUUAUAAUCUGCUGGUGCGGUGCUGCCCUGCUUUGAUUUGGGGAUUCAUUUGGGAUCUAAUUUUAACCGAACAAAGCUGGUUUGUUGGCUGCCGGCUGGUGUCACCUGAUGGUACUGUGCUACGGAGAGAGAUGUUUUUCCAGCAAUAGAAGUGGCCAGUUAGUUAAGUUGAGGAUUUGUGCCAUCUCUUCUUCAGGCCUGUAGCUUGUGGUUUCAGUCAGAUAGUUAAAGUCGCAUUGUCUUGCAGCAGCGACUGACUGCUGGGUUAACUGUUUGUGGUUUCAGUCGGAUAGUUAAAGUUGCAUUUUCAGUCGGACACAUGUUUUUUGUUUUGCCUGCUUUUUUCUUGACUGCGCACUCUCGCUGUUCGUUGUCGUGCAAUGUUGAAGUUAUUCAUGCGGUGGGGUGGAUGAAAGUUAGUACCAGACUAGCACUUUGGUUGUGCCUGUUUGGUGAUAAAAAGUUGGUGUUACUUGAGAACUUAAUGAUGCCUUUGUUUGAUGCAAAGAAUUUCAUUUUUAAGAAAAGGCUAGGACAUCUAUUGUUGUUUGUAUCUUAGUGUUACAAUGUAAAUCAUUUGUGGUAGCAAACAUGUUAACCAGGGCGCAAGUAUGUGAUUCAUGUUGUAUUGUACUUAAAUCAGUUUUCCUUAGUCCACAGAACUAACUACAUGCUUCAUUUGGUUUUGUGUGUUUUUUUCCCUUUUUUUCUUUGUCACAGUGCUCAAUGCGAGUUCCAAAAUGAGCCAUCUCGAGUCUGAAGUCCAAACCGUGGAACCUCUUUCGGACUAUGAAAAUAUGAGCCGUUGGGCUUCCUUCCAAUCGGUUGGUGCCUCAAGAAGGGUCAAAUAGGGUGGAAGACUGAUUUGAGCUUCGGUUUUGUUGGCAAAUCGAGGGGAGGAGAAAUCAAACUCAUGGAGAAAAAAUUCGACCCUAGACCCCAUGGCCUCGAGUUGUGUGCAUGUGUGGUGCGACAAAUUGGCGCCCAUUAGGCGGCGAUUGGACACUAAGUGGUCAUGCGGGGACAUGUGAGGGACCCAUCCUACCUCAAUGGAAAAAGUCAAUGACACUCAGUGGAACAAGUCCAUGACAUUUGAUGUCAAUUGCGAGAGGUAGUAUGAUGGACGAGUGUAUAGGGUAUAGUUCGGAUCUUGAGCUAUGGUUAUUAUUGGGCUAUGAGCUUGUAUUAUUUUUUCCCCAUUGCAACGCACGGGCAUUUUUCCUAUCAUGCAUAUGUUGCCUUGAA